GACUAGGCUCUUUACUCCAGCAGUUCUGUUUAGUUUGCUCGAACAGAGUAGAGGUGACAAGAUGUGGAAACUUAAUGAAAAAGAUAUCCCAGGCAUGAAACACUGUAGAAGAAUUAUGCUUAAUAAUGAACUAACUAAAAAACAAAUUAAAUGAAAUGCAGCUUUCACUGUUAGGUUCUAGAUUGCUCUCCCCCAAACAUUAGACGAAAUUGCAUUGUUUACAAAAAUUUAUUAAUACAAACUUUACACACUUUAUAUAACAGUUAUCAAAGUCCUAGUUAUAGAUAUCAUGUGUGUAAUAAUACUUUGUUUAAGUUCUUUUUAUAUUCAUUUGCACACAAAAUAAGUUCUCCAAGACUAACAUCUACCUACUAUGACUGUAUCUCAAAUCUGCUCAAAUUUUGGUAAGGCUGUUGGCGUUUCUGGAAAAAAAAAAAAAAGAAAUCGUACAAAGGAUAAUAACCUAGGUGAUCACUUCAUAAUGCUUGCGACUAGCCACUGAACUCUAACUGAUAAGGUCAUAAACAAAACGUCAAGAGAGCCCUAUGUCAUUAUACCACAGCCGACACAAACACAGCGCACUCUGCCCAUGGCCAAAGAACAGAAGGACGACUAAAACGCAAGCCGAUGUGUUGCAGCAUCGUAGGGCCACUAAAUGCCAUCCGUGAACUCGUGGCGAUUUACAAGAACAUAACCCAAAAAGGUGACUCAGGUGGGUUAAACAGAGCUCGGAAAAGUUCGAAGAGAGGAUGAGAGGCGGGAGGUCCUACAAGAAAAAGCAAUCAAAGAAAAGAGCAACUCCGACCGAAAAAUGCAAAGGCGAGAACCCUGCUCAUUAUUACACAUGAUGAGAAGCAUGGACAGCACUGGAGAGUAACACACUGUACUUUGCAUCCAGGUCCAGUACCGAGCUGCCCGGGGCAGUUGGGUAGCGGAUCGGAGGUGGGAUCGCCUCGUCUUACCUCGACCCUUGCGGCACCGGCUCCGGUUCAGGCUCCGGCCCCGGGGAGCGCCGGGGGCCGCCCCCGCUCACUUCCCCACUCUUUCCAAACGGGUCCUGUCUCUGCUUUGGCUUUGUUCUGCAACUCUGCCCAGACAGCCAGAAGAGCAGUGCACGGGGCUUAGUACUUACUACCCUUGCUGCUGGUUCGGGAUUUUGGGGUUGGGGUUUUGAGUUUGGCUAUUUUUGGUUUUGUUUUGAAAUUUUUUUUUUGUUAUUAUUAUUUUAUUAUUUUAGUUUUAGGUUUUUAAACUAUUUCUCCCUCCAAUAGGCAACAGAGAUGCACAAUUUGGAUCGAGCUGUUAUUUUCACAAGAUAAGUAUCCUCUAAGCUCAUUGUUUGAGGAUACACUAAUAGAGAUACAACUGGAAUCAAAGAAAGCAGGAGAGAAAAAAAAAAUAAUCGAAAUCUAGAAGAAAGGGGACGCUGCCCCUUCAGAGAGGCUAGUGGCAAAGGAGCCUGCCUUGAGACUCACCAGGGGAAGAAUCUGCUUCGCCAAUUCUCCCAAAUCAAUUUCCUCAUAAUCCCCCUGGGAGCAGGUCAUCCUUCUCUAUGUACAGUAGCAAAUGGUGAAAAUUAAUGUCUUCGACCCUGUCUCGGAUAAAAAUACUAUCCUUUUAA